rnacentral:misc_RNA from 1 species
AAAGUCGUAACAAGGUUUCCGUAGGUGAACCUGCGGAAGGAUCAUUAAAAAAAUUGUCUACCAUAUGGACGAUUUCAAAAUCCAUAUUCACCUUGUGUGCACAGUAAUUUGAAAACGGCGAGAUCUCUUUUCUCCGGAAAAGAAGUCUCGUGUGUUUUCCAACUACGCCUAUAACACUUGUCUGAAACUUUUUGAUUAUUAAAUCAGAAAUAUAAUAAAAACAACUUUCAACAACGGAUCUCUAGGCUCUC